CUUUGGUUGUGCCGAACUGAACUUUGAUACUCUUUAGUCAUGCCGAACUGAUACUCUUUCUUGGGCUUUAGGCUGAUGGGCUUUACUGCUGUUGGGCUUGUUUAGUACGUACUCCAUCAAAAAAUGUCGAAGCAAACUAGCUCACGUAUUUUACCAUCACUAUGUGACAAAAUAGAGGGCGUGAAACAUUCUUCCAAACCAAAGAUAUGCAAGCCUAGUUCAGAGAGAAAAAGAGCUCCAAAUCCUUUCGGAGACGCCAAUCCAAAUCGAGCAGCUAAACCCACAUCCGCAAGCAGCACGAUUCCCCACGGCUGCCCGGCACCUGUGGGAGUCCGGGCCGGCAGGCAGGCAAUAGAAUCAGCCGAUAGGGGCUUCAAAUUCAAUAAAAUAAGAUGCAUGCAUUCUUUGCCCGAUGGAUCCGGAAUCCACGAAACUCGUACCACCUUGAGGUCAUAGACAUACACCAAUAAUAAAAUAGAGAAAUCAUCGAUGGCUAAGGAAGCAAUGCAAGUGCAUGGAAGUGAAGUAUGGAAUGCAUCUCACCUAAGCAAGAAGUUUCAUUCAAAAGGUAGUUAACUAACUGCUACUAGCAGUUGGAGCUCAAAAGUGAAAGUGGCGGUUGUAACUAAUUCUGAAGUGAAGACUUGUUCACUCAUUUUAGUUCUUGUUGGGUAUAAGUAGAGUAGUUAAUCUUUUGUCAAAGAUGAUUGUAAUCACUUCUUGGUUUCAGCUUAAUAAAGUUUGAAACACACUUUCUCUCAGUAGAAAAUCUUCUUCUCAAUACAAGAUUGAUUGUUCUUGAUUGAUUACGGUGCUUUCUAUUUUCAUCAAUUGGCGUCGUCUGUGGAAAGGCGAUUGAUCGAUCAAGAGUGUAAUAAUGGCAGCAAGGCUCGAGGCACAGAAGUUCUCGAGGAAGAAUGACUAUGGCUUGUGGAAAAUGAAGAUGAGGGCUGUUCUUGUGCAGCAGGGGCUUGUUGCGGUUCUGACUUCGGCUGAAUCAGAAGGGAAAGGAAAGGCUCCUACGCUAGAUGAGAAAGCUCAGGCCAAGCAUGAUGAGAUGCAAUUGAAAGCUCAUAGUGCUGUCAUUCGACAAUGAUACGGAUUGGAGGAGGGGGAGAGAGAAAGAUGAUUGGGCCGGCAGAGAGAAAGGAGGAAACAGGUGGAGAAGAUUAAGGGAGAGAGCUGAUUCCUAUUUUUAUGCUUUUCAAAUAUUUGUUAUUCGAUUUCCUUUAUUUUAGCACUAGAAUUGGCUAUAUAUAGAGAGAGUCUCCUAAUAGAGAGAUCAUCUUGGAGAGAUCAUUAUUGGACGAGUUUUUCUCGUAGGCCUCCUUCGUGAGGAUUAGGCCUCUGCGGAGGAUUUCCCUUUCUUGUUUUGCUAUUCAGUUUCUUUCAAUAAAGCCGAGCAUUUAUGAUUCCA